CAAUAGCGUAUAUUAAAGUUGUUGCAGUUAAAAAGCUCGUAGUUGGAUUUCUGGUGGGGCUGUCGGCCUGGCUCCGAAAGGGGUCGUGGUAUCGUUACACGCCUGGCCAUCCUCGGGGGAAGCUUUGCUGGCAUUAAGUUGUCGGCGGAGUGACGCUCGUCGUUUACUGUGAACAAAUUAGAGUGUUCAAAGCAGGCUUAGGCCGUUGAAUACAUUAGCAUGGAAUAAUGAGAUAGGACUUUGGUGGUCUAUUUUGUUGGUUUGCACGCCGAAGUAAUGAUUAAUAGGGGCGGUUGGGGGUAUUCGUAUUCAAUUGUCAGAGGUGAAAUUCUUGGAUUUAUGGAAGACGAACUACUGCGAAAGCAUUUACCAAGGAUGUUUUCAUUA
rnacentral:rRNA from 1 species